UACGGAGGACCCGAGCGUUAUCCGGAUUUAUUGGGUUUAAAGGGUGCGUAGGCUGUUUAUUAAGUUAGAGGUGAAAGCUCGAUGCUCAACAUCGAAAUUGCCUCUGAUACUGGUAGACUAGAGUAUAGUUGCGGAUGGCGGAAUGUGUGGUGUAGCGGUGAAAUGCUUAGAUAUCACACAGAACACCGAUUGCGAAGGCAGCUGUCCAAGCUAUUACUGACGCUGAGGCACGAAAGCGUGGGGAGCGAACAGG
rnacentral:rRNA from 1 species